rfam:Alistipes shahii WAL 8301 draft genome.
GUAUCUUUGCCACGCAAAGGUUCGGAAAGAAGGCCAUAUGGCCUCCGAUCGAUUAAAAGGGAAUGCCGUGAAAGUCGGCAACAGUUCCCGCUGCUGUAAGUUCCUGUCCGGAAACGGACACAUGAGGGAUCGACAAUCUCAGCCACUGGUGAAAACCGGGAAGGCGUCGUAACCGGAAUAAGUCAGAAGACCUGCCUUGCAUGACAGAUUGGU